rnacentral:tmRNA from 1 species
GGGGAUGAAACAGGAUCGACAUGCAUAGUAAAGGGGAUAGUUUUUGCUCGGUGAGAAAACAGCCGUUUAAAUGCUCAAAAUUUAUAAGUGCAAACGAUAAUUUCGUUUUUGCUAAUGAUAAUAAUAGCAGUGCUAACUUAGUAGCUGCUUAGUUUUAUUAUUAGCGCGGUUUUUUUAAGGGUUUUCCGGGCAACAGAAAAACCCUUUUU